rnacentral:tRNA from 1 species
AGUGGGGUGGCUGAGAUUAAUGAGUAGGCGAUAGGCUGUAAAUCUAUUUAGGAGCGUGUACGUUGCUCCUCCACUA